UUAACGGCCCAGGACCUGCAUAUGGCGUGGAGAGCCUGCAUCCCUGGAAAACGCCACGAAAAGUAUCCAACCAGAGUGAACUUCCAUGCAUCUGAGUCGUCUUUCGGAUCCAGGUAGGCCACUCCAUCGCAGGGUGCGAUGUAUUCGAGUUUUCUAUCCGGAUCAAUGUUGUUUUUGUUAACAAACUUGGAGUAAUCUAUAGGUUCCUUGGGAGCGGAACCCUUCCCCGAGCCACCUUGUCCCCUGCGCUGAUUCGCACCGCCCGCCUGGUUGGGUCUUGCCGAGGCACUUUCGCCCAUGUUCACAUCGCCUGGCUCCUGCCGAGAGCCGCCGCCCGAUGCCUGCCGAGGAUUUGCGCCCGGCGUCUGCCGAGGGGUGCCGCCCACGCCUGGAGCGUUCUGCCGAGAUGGGGAGCCAGGGUUGCGCCUGGACUCCUCCUGCCGAGUGGCUACCAGCGCCUGUCGAAAGCCCAUGUCAUCCUGCCAAGAAGCCUCGGCGUUAUCACGACUCGCACCAAUCUGCCGAAAAGGGUCGGCGGUUUCACCAUCCCGCCGAGUUCCAGCGCCAGGCCCGGUGGUGCCGCCUGCCUACCGAGAGGGCGAAGAUGCGGGCGAGUCCACCUCCAGCCUACGCCGAGCGCCCGACGAGGUACUACGCCUCCCGUCCGCCAACACCUUGCGCCUAGGGCUAGGGUUACGGAUGAUGGGGGCAUCGGGGGUUGAACUAUCCAUGGCCGUAUCGACAAGGCCCCGCGUGGGGCUGUCGGACGCGGUUCUUUCCGGAGUGUCCACCACGACAAGCCCCAUGGCAUCCACACUUUCUUCCGUAUCCAUCUCUGUUCGGUCGGCCAUGAUGGCCCGUGCCAAGGCGGCACCGUCAUUUAGGGAUGGAUUGUCCACAAGACAGUUUCCUUUCGUGCUUUCUUCCUCUCAAUCUCCUUCGUGCGCUCCUUUACCGACUUGAACGAGUUGUCCUCCACAUGCAAUUCCGGCAACGCCCGUGACGGCGUGCGACUCCUAGAUUUCUUGUCCAUUAAGAAAGGUCUAGGCGGAGAUCAUGAAUGGAGAAAAACCCUCUAACACCGCCGUGGGGAGCGGCGCGAUCAGUCGGCCAUUGACGGCGAGGAGCGCCGGCAACAAGGGAAGAAGCGGCGAAGAUUUGCGGCGGUUGAAGAUGAACGGCGAUGGGCUGAGGGCGAGAGGCGCCGCCAGCCACGAGUUUUCGGGAGAGAAAAGUUGAGAGCAAAAUUUCGGCCCCUAGGGUUUCCGAAAUUUUGUUGCGCGAACAAUGACUCAACUGGUGUGUAUAAAUCAUUCGUUUGACUUGGAUAUAGGGGCAAAAGACUAAUCGAACCGUCUAGUAGCUGGUUCCCUCUGAAGUUUCCCUCAGGAUAUCUGGAGCUCUAGUGCGAGUUCUAUCGGGUAAAGCCAAUGAUUAGAGGCAUCGGGAGUAACUAUGACUCUCUUAAGGUAGGCAAAUGCCUCAUCAUCUAAUUAGUGACGCGUAUGAAUGGAUAAAAGAGAUUUCCACUGUCCCUGUCUACUAUCCAGUGAAACCACAGCCAAGGGAACGGGCUUGGCAGAUUCAGCGGGGAAAGAAGACCCUGUUGAGCUUGACUCUAGUCCGACUUUGUGAAAUAACUUGAGAGGUGUAGGAUAAGUGGGAGCCGAAAGGCGAAAGUGAAAUACCACUAUUUUUAACGUUAUUUUACUUAUUCCGUGAAUCAGAGGUAGGGCAUCGCCCCUCUUUUUGGACCCAAGGCUCACCCCGGUGGGCCGAUCCGGGCGGAAGACAUUGUCAGGUGGGGAGUUUGGCUGGGGCGACACAUCUGUUAAAAGAUAACGCAGGUGUCCUAAGAUGAGCUCAAUGAGAACAGAAAUCUCGUGUGGAACAGAAGGGUAAAAGCUCGUUUGAUUCUAAUUUCCAGUACAAAUGCGAACCAUGAAAGUGUGGCCUAACGAUCCUUUAGACCUUCGGAAUUUGAAGCUAGAGGUGUCAGAAAAGUUACCACAGGGAUAACUAGCUUAUGGCAGCCAAGCGUUCAUAGCGACGUUGCUUUUUGAUCCUUCGAUGUCAGCUCUUCCUAUCAUUAUGAAGCAGAAUUCACCAAGUGUUAGAUUAUUCACCCACCAAUAGGGAACAUGAGCUGGGUUUAGACCGUCGUGAGACAGGUUAGUUUUACCCUACUAAUGAUGGUGUUGCAAUAGUGAUUAAACCUAGUAUGAGAGGAACCAUUGAUUCGCACAAUUGAUCAUCGCGCUUGGUUGAAAAGCCAGUGUCGCGAAGCUACCGUGCGCUGGAUUAUGACUGAAUGCCUCUAAGUCAGAAUCUGAGCUAGACACGAUGCAUGCAAUCAACGUCCGCUCCCCGACCCGCAGUAGGGGCCCCCGGGCCCCCAAGGGCACGUGACGUUGACCAAACCCCCGCGGCGGAAAAGCUAUGUGGGCUGCCUCAAAGUACAAUUUCAAUCGAGGGCGGGUAGAAUCCUUUGUAGACGACUUAAAUAUGCGACCGAGUAUUAUAAGCGGCAGAGUGGCCUUC
rnacentral:rRNA from 1 species